CUUUAUAUAAUGUAGUUGAAUUCUAGACUUUAUGUAGAGCCAUGAGUUGUCUAUAUGUGAUGAUAACAUUACUUAUCAUUGCUACAACGUUUGAACUACAAGUUCACUUUUUGAACUUAACAUAUCUGGAGUUUUAUUUUACUCUACUAGAACAUAGUUCAACGUUCUAUUAAGUCGUCCCACUUAAUUAUAAAACGCUCUCUUUUAAUUAGAGUUAGCGUUACUCUAACAAAAGACUCUCCUUUUGUAAUAAAAAAGAGUUAGCGUUUAGUUAUAACAAUACGCUCUUUUUAAAUUAGAGUUAGCGUUUUGUUAUAACAACCUGAUUAUUCUGUACAAUAUCCCUAACGAUUUUUCGUUUGCGUAACUUGUACGGUAUAUAUUAUUGGUGUAUAAAAGACCUUACAAUUUUGAGUUGUCUUUUUCCCGACUUUUACGUUUCAGGUUCCUCGGUCUACCGAGCUAACAUUUUAUGUCAUUUCGUAUCUCGAUUUGACGUUUCUAAGCAUUCGGAGUCCUAGCUUAGUCUUAAAUGAACCUGGGUCAAUUGUAAUUCUAUUUCAGGCUCCUGAUUUAGCUCUUUACCGACUUUCCUAUUCUACGGGAAAGAAAGAGGACACACCGGUAGGGACAUUGGCAGCGGAGUCGCCGGUGCCGGCCCGCGCCCGCCUCGCGCCGCGUACCCCGCCAGCGCCCCGCGCCGCGCCGCGACGGCCCGCCGCCGGUCAGCUCCGCCGCGCCGUCCCUGCUUUGGCGACCUCGGCCGUUGAACCAGGCCGCCCCUGACUUCGGUUAGCUACGGUGAACGGUACCUACGGAAGCGGGCGGCAGGUCGCAGUUCUCGGCGACCCCCCGCAACAACACGCAGAGCGCGACUCCAGCGAUGCGGCGGCGUAGCGCUCCUACGUACGGUACCAACGGUCGAGGCGGUGGCCCUCCAGCUCCUACGCCCGUGGCGCGCGAUUCGCGCACGCCAACAAAGGUAGUGUCGGCGAGCGGGCACCCGGCACCGUGCAGAACAGUAUGUGGCCGACCACGGAGCGACGCCUCGUCGUCGGUGCCCGCGGCGGUACGAGGAACUCCCCGUAGAGGUACAUCCAACACUUGCCGCGGAGGCCGGCGACGCCCGACCUCGCGACCCGGAGACGGUGGCCACUACGUCGGCACGCCAUCUAGUGGCAACCGUGGUAGCCGGCGUUGGUCGCAGAGGCGACGGAACACGCCAGUACGGUCGUCGCUCGCCGAGCUACCAUGAAAGAAAAGAGGAGGAAAUGCGUGAGUCUACUCUCGUUAAACGAACACACGCAUCCGCAUGUCCGGAAGAACGGUAACUGCCCUUCAACGGCUAGCCUAGCGGUGCAAAUCGUGGUACCACCACCGUACCUAGCCCACCGUCGCCCGACGUGCGGCUAGCCUCUAGACCUAGCAGGCGUAGGUGGCGGGGUUAGGCGCUCCCGACAGUAGGCUCUUGCUGAGGUAGCGCGCAUCGGCGUCAACGAGAGAGCCGUCCCGCACGACUAUUGCACAAUCUUUCCCUUUGCUCUCUGUUAGCUCUCUCGGAACCUUGUCUACAUUUUCACUUAAGGAACAAGAGUAACUACUACCCAAUGUGUAUAUAUAUUGGGGACUUCCCCACAGAGGCUUCCUUGUGCUCCGUUGGCGGAGGAAAUCUUUUUCAUCCCUAAUUGUCCUAAUUAAUUUAGGAUUGUGUUUAUUGACGUUGGAUCCUGUCCAGAUGUGAAGAAGUGACGACUAUCUAUUUUAUGUAUAGGACAUAAAAGAUAGAUUUAAUAAUUACAACCAAGUUAUAAACGUACAGAUUAGAAUAGUUGAUCAUUCUUCGU
rnacentral:rRNA from 1 species